rnacentral:rRNA from 1 species
UACGUAGGGAGCGAGCGUUGUCCGGAUUUACUGGGUGUAAAGGGUGCGUAGGCGGCUAUGCAAGUCAGUAGUGAAAUCCAUGGGCUUAACCCAUGAACUGCUAUUGAAACUGCACAGCUUGAGUGAAGUAGAGGUAGGCGGAAUUCCCGGUGUAGCGGUGAAAUGCGUAGAGAUCGGGAGGAACACCAGUGGCGAAAGCGGCCUACUGGGCUUUAACUGACGCUGAGGCACGAAAGCGUGGGUAGCAAACAGG